CUGAGACGUGCAGGGAAGAUUAUGGCUGAUCCCUCCCACCCUGGACACAAACUCCUUGUGCCACUCCCCUCCGGCAGAAGGCUGCGGUCCAUCAGGACCAAAACCUCACGCCACCUGAGCAGCUUCUUCCCGUCUGCGGUUGGCCUCAUCAACAAGGCCCGGGACCCCCGCCCCCCAACACGGACUCUAAUCCCUUUUUUGCACACUCCUGCUGUAACCUAAUAUGUGUAUUGUUUAUUGUUUAUUGUGUAUGUUUAUUGUUUGCACCAUUGUACCACAAAGAAUUCCUCGUAGGUGAAAACCUACUUGGCAGUAAAAACCUUUCUGAUUCUGAUUCUGAUUCUGAUUCUGAUUCUGAUUCUGAUUCUGAUUUAAGUGUUACAGGCCAAAAGAGAAAAAGAUUGUAUGAGCCAAUGUAACCUCGACCGGUUAAGCAAAAAAGGCAGGAAAGUCAUUGUCAAGUCAUUGCCUUGUUAGGUACUGACUAAGACUGUAGAUGAGCCAUUAAGUGUUUGAAGUGUUACAGGCCAAAAUAGAAAAAAAAGUACUUUUUUUUUUUUUUACUGAUUUUGUUUAUCAUUAUACAUGCAUAAAUACUUUUUUUUUUAACUGAUUUAAGUGUUACAGGCCAAAAGAGAAAAAGAUCGUAUGAGCCAAUGUAACCUCGACCGGUUAAGCAAAAAAGGCAGGAAAGUCAUUGGCUAGCCUUGUUAGGUGCUGACUAAGACUGUAGAUAAGCCAUUAAGUGUUUGAAGUGUUACAGGCCAAAAUAGAAAAAAAUAGUACUUUUUUUUUUUUUUAACUGAUUUUGUUUAUCAAUAUACAUAUAUAAAUACUUUUUUUUUUUUUUUUUUACUGACUUUGUUUAUCAAUAUACAUGCAUACAUACUUUUUUUUUUUUUUUUUUUUACUGAUUUUGUUUAUCAAUAUACAUAAAUACUUUUUUUUUUUUUUUAACUGAUUUAAGUGUUACAGGCCAAAAGAGAAAAAGAUUGUAUGAGUAUAUUGGUAACCUCGACCGGUUAAGCAAAAAAGACAGGAAAGCCAUUGGCUAGCCUUGUUAGGUACUGACUAAGAUUGUAGAUGAGCCAUUAAGUGUUUGAAGUGUUACAGGCCAAAAUAGAAAAAAAAAGUACUUUUUUUUUUUACUGAUUUUGUUUAUUAAUACACAUGCAUAAAUACUUUUUUUUUUUUUUUUUUAACUGAUUUUGUUUAUCAAUAUACAUGCAUUAAUACUUUUUUUUUAACUGAUUUAAGUGUUAGAGGCCAAAAGAGAAAAAAAUUGUAUGAGCAUAUUGGUAACCUCGACCGGUUAAGCAAAAAAGGCAGGAAAGUCAUUGGCUAGCCUUGUUAGGUGCUGACUAAGACUGUAGAUGAGCCAUUAAGUGUUUGAAGUGUUACAGGCCAAAAUAGAAAAAAAAGUACUUUUUUUUAACUGAUUUUGUUUAUCAUUAUACAUGCAUAAAUACUUUUUUUUUUUAACUGAUUUAAGUGUUACAGGCCAAAAGAGAAAAAGAUUGUAUGAGCCAAUGUAACCUCGACCGGUUAAGCAAAAAAGGCAGGAAAGUCAUUGGCUAGCCUUGUUAGGUACUGACUAAGACUGUAGAUGAGCCAUUAAGUGUUUGAAGUGUUACAGGCCAAAAUAGAAAAAAAUAGUACUUUUUUUUUUUUUUACUGAUUUUGUUUAUCAAUAUACAUGCAUACAUACUUUUUUUUUUUUUUUUUAACUGAUUUAAGUGGUACAGGCCAAAAGAGAAAAAAAUAGUACCUUUUUUUUUUUAACUGAUUUUGUUUAUCAAUAUACAUGCAUAAAUACUUUUUUUUUUUAACUGAUUUAAGUGUUACAGGCCAAAAGGGAAAAAGAUUGUAUGAGCCAAUGUAACCUCGACCGGUUAAGCAAAAAAGGCAGGAAAGUCAUUGGCUAGCCUUGUUAGGUACUGACUAAGACUGUAGAUGAGCCAUUAAGUGUUUGAAGUGUUACAGGCCAAAAUAGAAAAAAAUAGUACUUUUUUUUUUUUUAACUGAUUUUGUUAAUCAAUAUACAUGCAUAAAUACUUUUUUUUUUAAACUGAUUUAAGUGUUACAGGCCAAAGAGAAAAAGAUUGUAUGAGCAUAUUGGUAACCUCGACCGGUUAAGCAAAAAAGGCAGGAAAGCCAUUGGCUAGCCUUGUUAGGUGCUGACUAAGACUGUAGAUGAGCCAUUAAGUGUUUGAAGUGUUACAGAUCAAAAUAGAAAAAAAAGUACUUUUUUUUUUUUUUUUUUUCGACUGAUUUUCUUUAUCAAUAUACAUGCAUUAAUAC
ensembl:lncRNA